GGCCUAUUAGCUCAGUUGGUUAGAGCGUGGUGCUAAUAACGCCAAGGUCGCAGGUUCGAGCCCUGCAUAGGCCA
rfam:Beta vulgaris subsp. vulgaris chromosome 2, whole genome shotgun sequence.